rnacentral:rRNA from 1 species
UACGUAGGGGGCUAGCGUUGUCCGGAUUUAUUGGGCGUAAAGAGCGUGUAGGCGGCCAGGUAGGUCUGCUGUGAAAACUCGAGGCUCAACCUCGAGACGCCGGUGGAAACCAUCAGACUAGAGUCCGGAAGAGGAGAGUGGAAUUCCUGGUGUAGCGGUGAAAUGCGCAGAUAUCAGGAAGAACACCAGUGGCGAAGGCGGCUCACUGGCCCGGUACUGACGCUGAGGUGCGAAAGCGUGGGGAGCAAACAGG